AUUAAAAGCUAGUGGCAGCCA
rnacentral:siRNA from 1 species